AACAUAGAAGUAAAAAAUUACACUUAGCUUCGACCUAAAUCCUUGAGAUCAACAAUCCCCGUGUUU
rnacentral:tRNA from 1 species